AGUCCCAUUGAUAUUGAAAAAGAUGAAGCCAUUGAGGAGGCCAUCAGACGCAGUCUUUUAGAAGAGUCUGUGCAGUCCUUACAGGAUUCAAGGUUCGCAGAAAGUUUGAGCAAAGAAGAAAUUACAGGAAUUGUGAAAGCUCACAGUGAGAGGGUUGUCACAGAAGCAUACAGAUACAGACCGAUCUACAUCAGCCGAGGGAAUGUGUGGACAACUGCCCUCCGACAGUUUAGUAGACGGAAAUUCCCUGAGAGCACCGAUCUGCUGUAUGUCACCUUUGCCAGUGACGAAGGCACCAACGAAGAUGGAGAAGACCUCGGAGGGCCAAGGCGAGAAUUCUUCCAUCUGCUUGUGAAAGCCAUCUUCAAAGAGAGUGGAGCAUUUGAAGAGUCUCUAAAUGGCUUCACUCCAAGAAUGA